UUAGCUUCUCUCCUUUCAUUGUGCCCAUAUAUAUACGCACAGAGCACACAUAGGCUACUGUAUGAAAUACAGACAGAUAGUUGAGUAUCUCUUAAGCAAUUUAUUUUAUACAGCCCCCCACCCAGAAGAUCCCUGUUAAAAACAAAGCAGCUCAUCAGGUGUUAUUACUUACUGUAACCACUAGAUGUCACUCUUGCCACACUGUGGAUUUCACAGCUCAAGUUAAAAGCAUCUGUGGCUCUAAGAUGUAGCUAAAUAAAAAAAACUAAAAAAAACAUAAAUCUACUAUACCCGUACUCACAUAUCUAAUAUGUAAAGUAAUCAUAUAUGAAAAUCUAUCCAUCCAUUCCUGGCUGUAUUUCUAUCUGCAAUGUGUGUAAAACCAUGCCUGUCUCUGCUCAAACAAAUUAAACACCUGCUUUUGAUCAGUGUAUGACUAGACCUCUGUAGAUGAGAGACCGUUCAUAUUUCAUAUUCAUAUAUGUGUUGAAGGUUCUAUGUACCUGUAGCUGCCCUAAUAAGAGCCUCUUAGCUAUAUAAAGUUCAAUAACGACUGUAUGGGGGAGAUGGACAGCUCCUAAUCAUUAGGGAGGAUUCAGGUUUGGGCUUUUUCACCUCCUCCUCUCUCUUUCUCCAUCUCUCUCCUGUGAUCUAUCAUUCAUGGGCUUCAUUUAAAAUUGCGUAAAAUAUUUAAAGUUGGUUGGAUUUCUUCAGUGGGCUUCAGCAGUGACCUCCCCCUCAGUGCCUGAAGUCAGUGGAGAAAGAUAUGCAGUGGGGAGAAGGGAGAGAACAAGAGAGAAAAACAGGGCAAAGAGGAAAGGUGUAUAAAAGUAGGAGAGACAGAGACAGAGACAGUGAAGGGAAAAAUGCAGAGCAAGUUACAGUGUUACUUAGCAUUGAACAAAAGCUGUGUUCGGAGGAGAAUACUUGCUUACUAAGUAACGAAUAAUGCACAGUAUACAUUAUAUACGGGUCUACACUUUUUAAAUAAAAAAUCUUAAGUGAAAUGGUAUUAUUCCACUGUAAAUGUUUCAAACAUUAUGUUGUUGUCAUAUGAUCUCAUGAUAUUGCAUGUAAGUGGCAUAUAAUUAUCUUGGAAAUUGAACAUUUGAAAAAAUACUUCCAGUUUAUUCAACAUACUACGUGCAUCCCAAUUUGCAAACGUAUGCAUGAUUUUUUGUAGUGCAAGUAGCAGAGGUGGAACAAAGUACAUUUACUUGAGUAGGCCUGCUGUACUUAAAGGUGCCAUAGGUACUUCUCUACAGAAACAUUUUUUGUUAUACUGGUUGAAAGUCUCUUCAUAUCCUGAUAGCAAUCACUAUCGUCUAUGGAAGGAGUAGGACCAUAAAAUGUUCACCCAAUCAUUAUAUUCGGUCCGAAUGAAAAAAUGUGAUGUCCUACCUACCUGUCAAUGUAUGUUUUUACAUACCCUCGUGCACCCUGUUCACGCAGACAUCAUAUGUCAUCAGCGUGUUUCAUGCUUUGCAGAGUUUAUGUAGACAGACCUCAGUCACGGAGCACUGCGAACAAACAGCAGCCACCUUUUACAGGUCCUACUGAAUCAAAACAACAAGCUUAUGCUGCGUUCACGCCAUAACUACUGUAAUUAAGAGAUGGCAACCUGUGAAGUUCUAACCAGCGCCGUUCAAGUCCUCAGACUCUGUCAACAGCAUCAACACCGAAAUGAAUCUGCAGCAGUCAGGUGACAGACAGCCAAUCAGUAAUCGCUCUUGUAGGGUCACUUGAAGUUCUAUGAUUUCCCACAAUUUUUUUUAGCAUAUUGAGGUAUGUUAACUUUUAAUUUCUGGUGAAAGCUUGAAAUGGAAAUUGUCUGUGAUUUCAGAGCUAAAGUUUCAGUAAGAAGUCAAACGGUUUAUGGAUUUGCCCACCUGGUUACCAUAGCCUUGUGGAUACACAACUAACGCAUAGCUUUCCCUAAGUACCAGAGGGGGAGGGACUAUCAGACUCCGCUGCUGAAUGACAAUGGAGGUCAAUUCUAGCAUAUUGCAUUGUGGAACGUGAACGUUACUGUGCACAGUAUGCUACAGUAUGUGCUGGAGGAAUAGUAUGAAUAAUCGUAACAGUAAUCUUUCUUGUUCUCUGAGACAAAUGUUUCAUAAAGUUGACAUGAAACCAAAACUGAUGCUAUUGACCUUCUUGUGUGUUUUUGAUCUUAUUGUGAACAAUAUAUUGGUGCAUGAUAUUCCAAAUAAAUAAAUUUAAAGAAAUAAAUAUCUUCAUAACCUAUCAUAAACUAAAAAAAUAAAUAACUCGUUCUGCCACUGAAACAACUACUUUGUUUUUACCCUUCUUCACCAACACUGACCACUUUGCACUUCCUAAUGGAUUAAAUAAAACCCCUGGACUCAACUUUUCUUUUUCACUUGGAAAUGCAUCAUAUUACAGAAA